rnacentral:ncRNA from 2 species
UCCUCCGAGGAGCGCUGCAACGGGCAACAACGCCCGCCAGGCUCGGAGCGAAGGAAAAAAUCGUAAAAAACCGCGCUCACUCACG